UACGAAGGGGGCUAGCGUUGUUCGGAAUUACUGGGCGUAAAGGGCGCGUAGGCGGUGUGUCAAGUCAGGCGUGAAAUCCCCAGGCUCAACCUGGGAACUGCGCUUGAAACUGCCGGUCUGAGUAUCGGAGAGGGUGGCGGAAUUCCUGGUGUAGAGGUGAAAUUCGUAGAUAUCAGGAGGAACACCGGUGGCGAAGGCGGCCACCUGGACGAUUACUGACGCUGAGACGCGAAAGCGUGGGGAGCAAACAGG
rnacentral:rRNA from 1 species